UACGUAGGGGGCAAGCGUUGUCCGGAUUUAUUGGGCGUAAAGAGCGUGUAGGCGGUUAGGUAGGUCCGUUGUGAAAACUCGAGGCUCAACCUCGAGACGCCGAUGGAAACCAUCUGACUAGAGUCCGGAAGAGGAGAGUGGAAUUCCUGGUGUAGCGGUGAAAUGCGCAGAUAUCGAGAGGAACACCUGCGGCGAAGGCGGGUUGCUGGGCUGACACUGACGCUGAGGCGCGGAAAGCUAGGGGAGCGAACGGG
rnacentral:rRNA from 1 species